UACAGAGGGUGCGAGCGUUGUUCGGAAUUAUUGGGCGUAAAGGGCGCGUAGGUGGGUGCUUAAGUCCGGGGUGAAAUCCUCCAGCUCAACUGGAGAACUGCCUCGGAUACUGGGCGUCUCGAGUGUGGUAGGGGUAUGCGGAACUAUCGGUGGAGCGGUGAAAUGCGUUGAUAUCGAUAGGAACUCCGGUGGCGAAGGCGGCAUACUGGACCACCACUGACGCUGAUGCGCGAAAGCCAGGGGAGCAAACGGG
rnacentral:rRNA from 1 species